rnacentral:rRNA from 1 species
AUUGAACGCUGGCGGCAUGCCUUACACAUGCAAGUCGAACGGCAGCGGGGACUUCGGUCCGCCGGCGAGUGGCGAACGGGUGAGUAAUGUAUCGGAACGUACCAUUCAGUGGGGGAUAACUAUCCGAAAGGAUAGCUAAUACCGCAUAUUCUGUGAGCAGGAAAGCAGGGGAUCGCAAGACCUUGCGCUGAUUGAGCGGCCGAUAUCAGAUUAGCUAGUUGGUGAGGUAAAGGCUCACCAAGGCGACGAUCUGUAGCGGGUCUGAGAGGAUGAUCCGCCACACUGGAACUGGGACACGGUCCAGACUCCUACGGGAGGCAGCAGUGGGGAAUUUUGGACAAUGGGGGCAACCCUGAUCCAGCCAUGCCGCGUGAGUGAAGAAGGCCUUCGGGUUGUAAAGCUCUUUCGGCCGGGAAAAAAUCGCAUGGGUUAAUACCCUGUGUGGAUGAUGGUACCGGAAUAAGAAGCACCGGCUAACUACGUGCCAGCAGCCGCAGUAAGAC